rnacentral:tRNA from 1 species
GCCUUCGUGGUGUAGUGGUCAGUACGCUGGGCGCGUAUUCCAGAGGUCCGUGGUUCGAGUCCCGGCGAAGGCA